UCAAGACACCUUGCAUAACAUGGCCCUAACUGGGUCUUAACUGUUUUCUGCCAUACUUGUGUGUCAACGAUAACGCCUAAUGUUUUUAUUUACUCUUGUGUUAAAUUGCCAUUCUAGUGGGUUAUUCUUUGGUUAUUUUGUGUUGUAUUGUGAAUGUGCAAAUGGGAAAUGUCAGAACAGAAAUCAAAUAAGAAUAUUUUGCGCAAUUUGUACUCAGUAUGAUUUUAAUUUGAUUUGUCGUAUUACAUGUGUGAACUGUAAAAAAAUAAAAUUGAUGUCAACCAAGAAAGUUUAAUAAUAUGUGUGAUGUUAAUUUCACAUUGUCAGACUCGUGCGGUUCUUCCGAAAUUCCGUUACGACAAUGAAGCGGUAACCCGCCAUUUCAAACGGUAAAAUUUGUGACUGAAAUGCUAAACAUGUUUUGUCGUGCAAAACUAUGCAGAGUUAAUAAAAAAUGCAUUGAAUUUACAUUUUAAAAAAGAUUUGUUUUAUAAAAAACGCAUGGCUGUGUGAGGAUCCACUCUAAUUUUGCUAAGAUUUGCUUUGUUUUUAUUUUCGAUUGUUAAUACUGAUUUCAGUUUUCUGUGACAGAAGUAACCUGUAGUUGGAACGUAAAGAUAAACUACUCUUUGGAGUGCUAUUAUGCUUUAGAAGGGCAUAUAUGAUAUAUGAAUAUGAUAUGAUAUGAGAAUGAUAUGAAUAUUGUAUUGUAUUUGGAUAAUCAUUUUGGAUUGACUGGUAACACGUGACAUGAGAUUUAUUGUGUUAUUGAUAAGUAAAUAAGCUAACCAAGCUUAGUAAAUAAAAAUCAGUUUUAUAUUUGAAAAGCGAAACUUGGCGUUGUGACAGCUAAUGAUCAGAUUUGGGAACAUAAGGUGAGGUUAAGCACAUAAGAAAUAUAACAUUCAACCCCAAUAAUAACACGUGCGGUAUAUACAAGUACCAACAAUUCCCAAAAAAGACGACCACACUUAAAUAUCACGUUAACUGAAUUUAAAUAAAGUUCCACUAUUCUGUGUUCAGAUGUGACUGUUAUCCCUAGCAAUAAUGUUCAUUAUAGAUGUUAUAAUUCACAUUUGUUUAUUGAGGUUUUUUCUGAGAUUGUGUUAGCAAAUAACAAUUAAACUUUAUAAACCAAUCACUUGCCUUAUUUUACUCUAACUAUAACCAAUGCACACCAUGCGUUUCAUCUGAACGGUGUUUUGUAUGCCAUGAUUGGUUCACUUUUGUAAAGUAUCAUUUUAAUUGAGAUGAAACUGAUGCACAUGUCAAAGAGAGUUACUGUUAAUAGAAUGCAGAUGAAGAAUAAUUUGAGAAGGGCUUAUCAUCAACAGUUUUUCAUUCAUGAAUGUGAUGUAGUAUGGAAUGAGGAGAUUUAUUAAUUAUGUUGUAAAAGUCGCUUGCAUCAAAUAUUUAUAAAUUGUACUUAAAUACAUACAACACAAAUCGGAUUUGAACUAACUAAACGUUCCUGCAAAUAAAAGUGAUAAAGUGAUCAGUUAUAACGAAUCAGAGAUUAACUUUCAACUUGAAUUUGGAAUGGAGUGAAGUAACACAUCAAUAGCAUCUAAUAACACCUAUCAAGUAUCGUGAUAACAACUUGAAUCAAAUUUGUGUUCAUCAGUUAAAACUUCAUUACUUCAUGUAGUAGGAAUACACACAUAAUUGGCAUAAUUGGAAUGUGUAUUGUAAUAUAAUGCAAUAUUUAAGCAUAAUAUUCGCAAAGUCUUUAGAAAUUCAGUUGUAGCCAAAUACUAUCACUGUGUUGUUAUUCACAACCCCAUUGGGCAAAAUGUUGGCGGAAAAAUUGAUCGCGUCAUCAAAGCAACAAGACCAAAUUUAAUUCUUGAAGUAAAAUCGUCAUUUUAGAAGUUUAGAAGAUUGCAAAUGACUAGAUGCCAGUAGUUGUCUCUUCCAAAAGAAACGCUUAAAUUUAAGCGCAUCACUGUAAUUUCAGAUAUUUCAUGGUACAGUAACUUUAAUUAGUUAAAACCAACUACUUUGAAUCCGAAAACAACAUUUGUAUAAUGAUAUAUCUUUAUAUGCCUGAAUCUUUAUAUAUCUUUAAUGCGAGUAUUUGAUUUGGAAAAAUAAAUCAUCAGAUAAUAUGUGAUGAGUGGGAAGUAGUAUCAGAUUUCAUAAACGUUAUGUUCCUUUUCCGUUAAUACAAUAGUUAUUGCACACAAUUUCUCUUUGGUUGUAUGCUUGCUCAUAUAUGACAAAGAAUAGUAAUUGUCGAUUGAACAAUAUGCCAAAAGUAUAGUGUGAUAUACGCUCGAUAUAUCAUAUGUCUGCUUUUUGCAAUUAUUAAUACGUGAUCAGUAAAACUGUGGAGACUUUGAUACACAUGUGAAAAGUAAUUAGUAUGAAGGAACAUUGUGACACCUGUGCUCAGAAAAUAAUCAACGCGUAACUUGAAGUUUGGUUAUGAAAAUUAUUUAUUGGUUUACUCUGUUCAUUACUUUGAAGUUGUUGGAAUUAUGGAAUAAAAGUGCCAGUAACGAGUUGCUAUUUCGGGUAGUUUAUGCACUACUUCUCCACCAUUUACAUUGCAGUUCUAAUUAUUUAUUGUGGGAAUAUCUCUUAAUUUUUAAUUUUUCUCAAAAUUUUUGAAUGUGAAUAUAUAUGUAUUUCUGCACUAAUACAAACAGUAAGGAAUGGAAACCGGUAACAACUACUUCAUAACUAAUGACAAAGUGAUUUUAAUAGUCCAAACAAACACUUUAAAUUUAUAAAUAUCAAACAUCAUUCUGACCAACAAUACAGAUAUCAAGUGUUGCAGGAAUAGCUUCAAUCAAAUUUAUGCUAAUUAUUGAAAGCUUUAUAAAUAAGCAAAUGUAGCAAGAUCCAGUAAUUCAAGUUAACAUUAUGUAGUGAGCAGUUCACAGGAUUGAGUUACAUUUGUCAGGAAUCGAAUACGUUUGAAAGGAUGAAACAUCAUUGCCUAUCGGAAGUACCUUUAAAAUCUCCUCAUAUUAAUUUAAAUGCUUAAGUAUUCAACAUGUUUUUCAUCUAUUCUAAAACAUCAAAUAACGUUCCGCAUAAAUAAGCAACAAUUCGCAUUAUAAGGUAAACGAUUUCUAAAUUAUUAUAUAUUAAACUA